rnacentral:sRNA from 15 species
CUGGUGUUGACCAGCGGCGAUCGCCACCCAUACAGUUCACCCAGCCGAGCACACGGAGAAUCCGGUGACAUUCCGGAACGGUCGCGCCACUGUGUGGUCCCCUGCAGGUCAGGGGACUCGAGUCAGAUAUCCGAUGCCCGGUCAUCCCAUCCA